rnacentral:tRNA from 1 species
AGCGAGGUAGGGCAGUCUGGAGUGCCCGCGAGGCUCAUAACCUCGAGGUCGCUGGUUCAAAUCCGGCCCUCGCUA